ensembl:rRNA 5S_rRNA 5S ribosomal RNA
GCUUACGGCCAUACCACCCUGAGAACGCCCGAUCUUGUCUGAUCUCGGAAGUUAAGUAGGGUCGGGCCUGGUUAGUACUUGGAUGGGAGACCGCCCGGGAAUACCAGGUGCUGUAAGCU